CAUUCACCCACGUUGGCGAAUACGGCUUGGAGUAUGUAAUAUCAUGGGUCGAUGGCUGUGUUAUUUUGAAUGUUAAAGAUUGUGCUACAGAGUGGCGGUUGAACGUUCACGAAUGGAAUUCUUUCUUGGAGAAUUUAUGCCCCAUGCUAGACGGCGUCCGGGGUACAUGGCAGGCGGGAACCCAUGUAUUCCAAUGGACCUUUCAGUAUGAAUCGAGGAUUCAUCGCAUGGAUGCAAACUAUCAUACGAAGAGACCACAGGAGUUCAUUUUUUUUCAGACGCUGUGUUGAUACAGACGAGCUACCGCAGUGCUAUGAUAUGCAUUGCGUCGGUAGCUCUCCUCUACGCACCAGUGUUUUAGAAGCUGCUGAUUAUUUUGAUAAUGUCUUUUUCAUGCAGUGGGCUGAUUUGUCUGCACUACGUGGAAUUUUUGCAGAGAUUGAUUCAAUGGCUAAGACGAAUGAAGAACCAUGGAGCACAGCUGAUGAUGAAUGCCGAAUGUGCCUGUUUGAGUCGUCUGGGUUUGAUGAUGGGGUACAUGCACAGGUCAAUGAUGAACAUGUGCAAGGUGGGGGUGUGGCUAUGGAGACUGCUGAUUUAAAGGCUGUACAACCCGGACCCCACUGGCUUCAAGAGUAUGCCAUCUAUCUGACCGGAUUGAAUCUGACCUUCCUACACGUCGGAGAGGACAGUGAGCUGGAGGUGGACACUGCUAUGAGAGACGACGGAUGGCCUGUAAUCAAUACAGAUCCGUUUAAACCCUGCAUCGCUGGCCGUUCUGCGAUUUUACCACGGGGCUCUGUGUGGUGGCCAUCAUCAACCAUCAGAAGCAAGCGGGACUGCUGGGGAUGCCAGUGUGAUUGCCCAAGGUCAACGACGCCAUUCAUGCCUGCAGGAGCGACACAUCAUCACUACGAAUCCCACUACCAUGACAUUUGUGUCAUCCUGGACAGACACCCCUUCCUGUUACUUUUAGAAACUGUUCUAAAGACGACUACAGGGUUGACCUGUGUCCCCCGGAAAAAUCUAUGGUGUGGUCGAAUCUUAUCUAUGUGA
rnacentral:lncRNA from 1 species